rnacentral:rRNA from 1 species
UACGAAGGGGGCUAGCGUUGCUCGGAAUCACUGGGCGUAAAGCGCACGUAGGCGGAUUGCUAAGUCAGGGGUGAAAUCCCGGGGCUCAACCUCGGAACUGCCUUUGAUACUGCAAAUCUCGAGUCCGGAAGAGGUGAGUGGAAUUCCUAGUGUAGAGGUGAAAUUCGUAGAUAUUAGGAAGAAACACCAGUGGCGAAGGCGGCUCACUGGUCCGGUACUGACGCUGAGGUGCGAAAGCGUGGGGGAGCAAACAGG